UAUGGGGAGGAAAAUUUAGUACCGAAGCAACUGAUUUCACGCUGUCAAGAAAAGCCGCUAGCGAGAUCGUAGGUGCCCGUACCGCAAACCGACACAGGUAGAUGAGGAGAGAAUCCUAAGGUGAGCGAGAGAACUAUUGUUAAGGAACUCGGCAAAAUAACCCCGUAACUUCGGGAGAAGGGGUGCCAGCGCAAGCUGGCCGCAGUGAAAAGGCCCAGGCGACUGUUUACCAAAAACACAGGUCUCUGCUAAAGCGAAAGCUGAAGUAUAGGGGCUGACGCCUGCCCGGUGCUGGAAGGUUAAGGGGAAUGCUUAGAGCAAUCGAAGGUGUGAACUUAAGCCCCAGUAAACGGCGGCCGUAACUAUAACGGUCCUAAGGUAGCGAAAUUCCUUGUCGGGUAAGUUCCGACCCGCACGAAAGGCGUAACGAUCUGGGCACUGUCUCAACAAUAGACUCGGUGAAAUUGUAGUACCGGUAAAGAUGCCGGUUACCCGCAGCAGGACGGAAAGACCCCGUGGAGCUUUACUGUAGCUUGAUAUUGGAUUUCGGCGUUGCAUGUACAGGAUAGGUGGGAGACUUUGAAACCAGGACGCCAGUUUUGGUGGAGUCACCGUUGGGAUACCACUCUUGUAACGUUGAAAUUCUAACUUUGUACCGUGAUCCGGUAUGAGGACAGUGUCAGGUGGGCAGUUUGACUGGGGCGGUCGCCUCCUAAAGAGUAACGGAGGCGCCCAAAGGUUCCCUCAGCGCGGUCGGAAAUCGCGCGAAGAGUGUAAAGGCAAAAGGGAGCUUGACUGCGAGACAUACAGGUCGAGCAGGUACGAAAGUAGGGCUUAGUGAUCCGGUGGUUCCGAGUGGAAGGGCCAUCGCUCAACGGAUAAAAGCUACCCCGGGGAUAACAGGCUGAUACCCCCCAAGAGUCCACAUCGACGGGGGUGUUUGGCACCUCGAUGUCGGCUCGUCUCAUCCUGGGGCUGAAGUAGGUCCCAAGGGUUGGGCUGUUCGCCCAUUAAAGAGGUACGCGAGCUGGGUUCAGAACGUCGUGAGACAGUUCGGUCCCUAUCCGCUGUGGGCGUUGGAAAUUUGAGUGGAGCUGUUCUUAGUACGAGAGGACCGGGAUGGACAUACCUCUGGUGCACCAGUUGUUCUGCCAAGGGCAUAGCUGGGUAGCCACGUAUGGACGGGAUAAGCGCUGAAAGCAUCUAAGUGCGAAGCCCCCCACAAGAAUAGAUUUCCUCCAGUAAUGGUAAGACCC
rnacentral:rRNA from 1 species